AAUAUAGUUACUGAUGAAAAACAGCGUGGGGUGCUUGAAGUGAACGUCUCCAUACUGACUCAGGAGGAUUCAGGCAGAUACUGGUGUGUCUUAGAAAGAGAGGCUUCCAUAACCUGUUUACAAGAUUUCUUUCUCCAUGUUCUGAACAAAGAUAAUAAGCCAAAACCAACAGCUGAAACUCGCUCUGACACAGGGUGGUCUUUAACUC